CUUCUGUUCAAGCUCUGUCUGCAGCUGGUCCCUCUCCUCCUGACACCUGGGCACAGAAGGAGGACUCAGUUCUCUGCGUUUGUGCCUGAGUUUGAGCUGGCAUUGCCUCAGCUCUGUUCUGGCCUCUUCCUUUUGUCUUUGGUGGCUUCCUAGAAGAUUUCUUCCAAGAAAUGUGCUGGACUGGAAGAAAGAAAAUAGAGCUUCAGAGAGGAAAUCACACUGCUGAGGGCCACAAGGUUUGGAAGCCAGGCCUCACUGUGGCUCCAGAAUCCUGCAGCUUCUCUGCACCUCCAUUGCCAGAGAACAUCCGGGGGUUUCACCGUGCUCCCCUUCUUCAUCAGCGCUCUUGCUUCCUUACAGCUUAGCCCCAUGGAGCAGCAGCCUCCAGCCCCUGAGAGCACACAGAUCAGUCUGGAAUAGGCAGGUCUAUGGGGACAGAUGAAUGCUUGCCUAGGGCUGGGAGGUUGGGAGAAAAUGGCAGUGACUGCUCAUGGUACAGAAUUUCUCUUUGCGGUGAUGAAAAUGUCCUAAACCAUGGUGAUCGAGGCACAGUUUUAUGAAUACACAAAACCCCACUGAACUGUUUAAAAAAAAAAAAAAAAAGCAAACAUACUUAACAUUAAAGCCAAAAGUCAAUUCUUGUCCCUUCUCUACUCAGGACUCUCAGUGGUUCCUAUCUCACUCUGAGUGCAAGCGAAGGUCCUCUGGAUGACCUGUGAGGGUCUCCUGUUACCUGACUGACUUGCCCCUCCCUCCGCUCCCUCCUUCACUCCACUGGGCCUCUGUGAUGUUCUGAUGACCUGCUAUGGCCAUUCCUACCCCAGGGCCCUUGCUCUUGCUGUUCCACUGCCUGGAACGUUCUUCUACCACAUAUGCACAUGGCUUAUUCCUCACUUCCUUCAGGUCUUCGAUCAAGCAUCACUUUUUCACGGAGGCCCUCCCUGGCCAUGCUGCCAUAUUUAACCUAUACCCCUUGACACUCCCACCUCCUUUCUCUGCUUGACUUUCUUCCUUCUUAGGACUUGUCGCAUCAGACACGAUGCAAUUAACUUGCUUAUCGUGUUUACCAUUGGCUUUCCCCGACUAGAAGGGACGUUCCCCAGGAACAGGGAUUUGGUCUGUGUUGUCUGCAAGAGGAUUUCUGAUAUGCUACAACAGGGCUGGCACCGAGUAGGCAAUCUGAGAGUCUGUGGGAUAAUGGCUAGGAUAACAGGUGGCAGGAUAGUGGGCUAUGAGACAGGGGCUCCCCCAGCUGAGGGAGCAGCCUGGGCCUGGUGGUCUCUUUGGGAUCUCCCAGCGGCUCCCUCCAGCCCAUCGUGAUUCCCAAAGAAGGCUCCUGGGUGGGCAAGGCCCCUGGGUUAGCCUAGGGCCUGGGUCACAGGAAUCUUUCCUGACCAAACUGCCAAGCUCAGCCGAGCAUCCGGCGGGAGAAGCCCGGGGAGGGGUGCCUUUUGGGGUUGGUUUCUGGGCCCGCAGCCUCUCUCAGCCUUUUAAGCAGGGAGUCUGUCAAGCGGCCUGUGAUUCAGUCUGAAGCACAACUACCCAGGCUCCAGUGGGGUUUGGGCUGGCACCUCCCGGGGUGGGCGUCGGCCACACGUGAGAGACAGAGCCGGGUGGGCACACGGAGGCACACGGAGACCACAGGAGACAGACACAGAGACUGAGUCAGACCCAGGAAGACCUUUGCAUGGCGGAAAUAUUUUUAAAAUUCUGAAAGAGAAACUCAGACAUGGAGAGAGUGUGCUCUGGGCUCUUGAGGUUAAUAGCAUGACGGAAAGUGGGAGAAGCUGGAUGGUGAGAGGGGGCCGAGCGGGAGAGGCGGGGGGACUGAAAUAAACACAGGCACUCAAUACAGGGCCUGAGGGUCCGUGUGUAAGCCGUCCGGUGCUGCAGUCGGCUGUUGGGGUGCGGACCUCAGCUCCUCUACUAACUGGUGACAUUGGGUGAAUUGUGCAGCACCUUUGAGACUCAGUUGCCCUAUCUAUAAAAUGGGGAUUCUUAGAGAACCUACUUCAUAGGUUAGGAGGGAACACCUAGAACGGUGCCAGGGACAUAGUAAG